GAAAUGCGAUAAGUAGUGUGAAUUGCAGAAUUCAGUGAAUCAUCGAAUCUUUGAACGCACAUUGCGCCCGCCAGUAUUCUGGCGGGCAUGCCUGUUCGAGCGUCAUUUCAACCCUCAAGCCCGGCUUGUGUGAUGGGCCCCGGCGUCUCGUUCGCGAGACGGGCCCGAAAGGCAGCGGCGGCGUCGACCCGAUGAGCCCGAGCGUAUGGGGACUUCUGUCACACGUUCGCGGUGCGGACCGGCGCCUGCUUGACUCUUCUGAUUAUCCAGGUUGACCUCGGAUCAGGUAGGGAUACCCGCUGAACUUAAGC
rnacentral:misc_RNA from 1 species